UGGAGAUCGACAGCGGAGACCGACGACGGAGGAGACCACCGAUACCCUCAGAGUCCAGACUGAGGUCAUCACUGAGGACAGCGGGCAGCUGCUGGUCAGCCCUCAGUACUGUGGACCUGUGACUGUAUACAGGUGUCCCAGACAGUUUCUGGAGGAGCUUAUCCUGCAGCACUGCUUCAAGGAGGUGCAGAGUUCAUUCUGGACUCUGCGCUUCUCUUACGUAUCCU